AGUGAACGCUGGCGGUAGGCCUAACACAUGCAAGUCGAACGGCAGCACAGUAAGAGCUUGCUCUUACGGGUGGCGAGUGGCGGACGGGUGAGGAAUACAUCGGAAUCUACUUUUUCGUGGGGGAUAACGUAGGGAAACUUACGCUAAUACCGCAUACGACCUACGGGUGAAAGCAGGGGAUCUUCGUACCUUGCGCGAUCGAAUGAGCCGAUGCCGGAUUAGCUAGUUGGCGGGGUAAAGGCCCACCAAGGCGACGAUCCGUAGCUGGUCUGAGAGGAUGAUGAGCCACACUGGAACUGAGACACGGGCCAGACUCCUACGGGAGGCAGCAGUGGGGAAUAUUGGACAAUGGGCGCAAGCCUGAUCCAGCCAUACCGCGUUGGUUAAGAAGGCCUUCGGGUUGUAAAGCCAGUGUGUUGGGAAAGAAAAUCAGCAGGUUAAUACCCCGCUGUUCUGACGGUACCCAAAGAAUAAGCACCGGCUAACCUCGUG
rnacentral:rRNA from 1 species